rnacentral:misc_RNA from 1 species
UGUAGGAGUGAGCCUGCUCGCGAUAGCGGUGUGUCAGUCGGUGAAAAUGUCACUGAUAUACCGCUAUCGCGAGCAGGCUCACUCCUACA